rnacentral:rRNA from 1 species
UGCCAGCCGCCGCGGUAAUACGGAGGGUGCAAGCGUUGUUCGGAAUUAUUGGGCUUAAAGGGUGCGUAGGCGGCUUGGUAGGUGGGGUGUGAAAGCCCUCGGCUCAACCGAGGAAUUGCGCCCCAAACCACCAUGCUAGAGGGAGACAGAGGUAAGCGGAACUGAUGGUGGAGCGGUGAAAUGCGUUGAUAUCAUCAGGAACACCAGUGGCGAAAGCGGCUUACUGGGUCUCUUCUGACGCUGAGGCACGAAAGCUAGGGUAGCGAACGGGAUUAGAUA